GUAAGUGUAAUGAAUUUGUGGAUCAUUUACUAGCCGCACCUCCGCCGAAUAGAAAGAGCAUUUUUUACCCUGGGAAUGAGCUGCCACAAAGGAUGAUGUAUCAAAAUAACUGUGGAUAUUCUCUGACUUGGUCUUCAUCAUCCAAACAACAAGAGAGGGUGCAAUUUGGUCUCUGUGUUGUUAUAGAU